rnacentral:rRNA from 1 species
GUCGAGCGGUCCGACGCAAGUCGGACAGCGGCAGACGGGUGAGUAACACGUAGGGAUCUGCCCCAAAGUGAGGGAUAACCCCGCGAAAGCGGAGCUAAUACCGCAUAGUCCCGCAAGGGUAAAGGGCGUAACUGCCCGCUUUGGGAUGAACCUGCGUCCUAUCAGCUAGUUGGUGAGGUAAUGGCUUACCAAGGCUAUGACGGGUAGGGGGUGUGAGAGCACGACCCCCCACAAGGGUACUGAGACACGGACCCUACACCUACGGGUGGCAGCAACCAGGAAUAUUGCGCAAUGGGCGAAAGCCUGACGCAGCGACGCCGCGUGGAGGAUGAAGGUUCUCGGAUCGUAAACUCCUUUUUACAGGGAUAAAUAAAAUGAUAGUACCUGUAGAAUAAGCACCUGCAAACUACGUGCCAGCAGCCGCGGUAAUACGUAGGGUGCGAGCGUUAUCCGGAUUUACUGGGCGUAAAGAGUAUCGUAGGCGGUUUUUCAAGUCAUGUGUUAAAGCCCUCUGCUUAACGGAGGAUGUGCACGUGAUACUGGGAAACUUGAGUUAGAUCGGGGGUACUGGAAUUCUCGGUGGAGGAGUGAAAUCCGUUGAGAUCGAGAAGAACACCAAGGGCGAAGGCAGGUACCUAGGUUUUAACUGACGCUGAUGAACGAAAGCUAGGGGAGCGAAAGGGAUUAGAGACCCCUGUAGUCCUAGCUGUAAACAAUGCCUACUAGCUGUUCCGACUUACGUCGGUUGGCG